UACGUAGGGUGCGAGCGUUAAUCGGAAUUACUGGGCGUAAAGCGUGCGUAGGCGGUCCGCUGUGUCCCGUGUGAAAGCCCCGGGCUCAACCUGGGAAUUGCAUGGGAAACUGGCGGGCUUGAGUGCGGCAGAGGGGGGUGGAAUUCCGCGUGUAGCAGUGAAAUGCGUAGAGAUGCGGAGGAACACCGAUGGCGUAGGCAGGGUACUGGCACAUUUCUGACACUAAGGCACGAAAGCGUGGGGAGCAAACGGG
rnacentral:rRNA from 1 species